GCGUGAGUGACGAAGGCCUUAGGGUUGUAAAACUCUUUCAGUAGGGAAGAUAAUGACGGUACCUACAGAAGAAGCUCCGGCUAACUCCGUGCCAGCAGCCGCGGUAAUACGGAGGGAGCUAGCGUUGUUCGGAAUUACUGGGCGUAAAGCGCGCGUAGGCGGCUUGACAAGUUGGGGGUGAAAUCCCGGGGCUCAACCUCGGAACGGCCUCCAAAACUGUCAGGCUAGAAUCCUGGAGAGGUGAGUGGAAUUCCUAGUGUAGAGGUGAAAUUCGU
rnacentral:rRNA from 1 species